rfam:Dialister sp. CAG:357 genomic scaffold, scf80
CGAGCAGGAAAGAUGAUUGCGGGCCGAAAGGCGUGAGGAAAGUCCGAGCUUCGCAGGGCAGGAUGCCGGAUAACGUCCGGCGGGGGUGACCCUAGGGAAAGUGCCAUAGAAAAGGAAACCGCCAUCUUAGGAUGGUAAGGGUGGAAAGGUGCGGUAAGAGCGCACCAGCAGUCGGGAGACCGGCUGGCUUGGUAAACCCCAUCCGAAGCAAGACCGAAUAGGGAAGGGUUGAGGUUGCCCGCUGACCUUCCGGGUUGCGUCGCUUGAGCAGUAGAGUAAUUUACUGCCUAGAAAGAUAAUCAUCACCGCGCAAGCGGUACAGAACUCGGCUUAUUGAAUGCUCGCCGC